GACGAACGCUGGCGGCGUGCCUAAUACAUGCAAGUUGAGCGCUGAAGGUUGGUACUUGUACCAACUGGAUGAGCAGCGAACGGGUGAGUAACGCGUGGGGAAUCUGCCUUUGAGCGGGGGACAACAUUUGGAAACGAAUGCUAAUACCGCAUAAAAACUUUAAACACAAGUUUUAAGUUUGAAAGAUGCAAUUGCAUCACUCAAAGAUGAUCCCGCGUUGUAUUAGCUAGUUGGUGAGGUAAAGGCUCACCAAGGCGAUGAUACAUAGCCGACCUGAGAGGGCGAUCGGCCACAUUGGGACUGAGACACGGCCCAAACUCCUACGGGAGGCAGCAGUAGGGAAUCUUCGGCAAUGGACGAAAGUCUGACCGAGCAACGCCGCGUGAGUGAAGAAGGGUUUCGGAUCGUAAAACUCUGUUGGUAGAGAAGAACGUUGGUGAGAGUGGAAAGCUCAUCAAGUGACGGUAACUACCCAGAAAGGGACGGCUAACUACGUG
rnacentral:rRNA from 1 species